GGCAGCACGGACUUCGGUCUGGUGGCGAGUGGCGAACGGGUGAGUAAUGUAUCGGAACGUGCCUAGUAGCGGGGGAUAACUACGCGAAAGCGUAGCUAAUACCGCAUACGCCCUACGGGGGAAAGCAGGGGAUCGCAAGACCUUGCACUAUUAGAGCGGCCGAUAUCGGAUUAGCUAGUUGGUGGGGUAACGGCUCACCAAGGCGACGAUCCGUAGCUGGUUUGAGAGGACGACCAGCCACACUGGGACUGAGACACGGCCCAGACUCCUACGGGAGGCAGCAGUGGGGAAUUUUGGACAAUGGGGGAAACCCUGAUCCAGCCAUCCCGCGUGUGCGAUGAAGGCCUUCGGGUUGUAAAGCACUUUUGGCAGGAAAGAAACGUCGCGGGUUAAUACCCCGCGGAACUGACGGUACCUGCAGAAUAAGCACCGGCUAACUACGUGCCAGCAGCCGCGGUAAUACGUAGGGUGCAAGCGUUAAUCGGAAUUACUGGGCGUAAAGCGUGCGCAGGCGGUUCGGAAAGAAAGAUGUGAAAUCCCAGAGCUUAACUUUGGAACUGCAUUUUUAACUACCGAGCUAGAGUGUGUCAGAGGGAGGUGGAAUUCCGCGUGUAGCAGUGAAAUGCGUAGAUAUGCGGAG
rnacentral:rRNA from 1 species